rnacentral:rRNA from 1 species
GACGAACGCUGGCGGCAGGCCUAACACAUGCAAGUCGAACGAGUGGCAGACGGGUGAGUAAUUUCUGGGAAACUGCCCGAUGUAGGGGGAUAACUACUGGAAACGGUAGCUAAUACCGCAUACCAUCGGAUGUGCCCAGAUGGGAUUAGCUAGUAGGUGGGGUAACGGCUCACCUAGGCGACGAUCCCUAGCUGGGAUGAGAGGGUGACCAGCCAAACUGGAACUGAGACACGGUCCAGACUCCUACGGGAGGCAGCAGUGGGGAAUAUUGCACAAUGGGCGCAAGCCUGAUGCAGCCAUGCCGCGUGUAUGAAGAAGGCCUUCGGGUUGUAAAGUACUUUCAUCGGGGAGGCGUUACCCACAGAAGAAGCACCGGCUAACUCCGUGCCAGCAGCCGCGGUAAUAC